GGGCUUCCAGAGAGGCCUCCGUGUAGGCCUCCCUGAAGCCUGGACUUGGCAUUCCCCAGCAAGCCAGGAAGGAGGCAGGAUGGAAGAGUUCUCUGCAGCAGACUCUCUGCCCAGACCAUCCAACACAGCUUUUGCAAGGUCUUGGUGCAGCCUGCAUUGAAGCCACUUGGGUGUGAUUAGCCAGAUUAAAACCUGGACAACCACCACCAUCCUCACCAUCUGUGGAGUAAAACUGGAGUCAUGUUUGCUAUAGCAGAAGGAAGAGGAAGAUGGGAAAAUAGUGGAUUAGGAGAGAAGGGUCAGCAUAGCAGCAUCUUCAGGCAACUAUCUGGCAACCUUAGUGAUAUGCACCAAUUCAUGCAUUCAGACAGAUCUCCAGUUCAGUUUGGGAAGGGUUACAGUUAGCCCAAGUCUACUCCAAAUCAGAACUAUUUAGGAUUUUGCUGACAUAGAAUAGACCUUUGUAUUCUCAUCUUCUGAACACAUCUAUAGCUUUUGAAGCCUACAUUGUGGAAUGUUCCUGUUUGAGCCAAAUGUUCUGGUAAAACUUGAAAGGGAUCAGCUCCAGAUGGCCUAUACCAUUUUGAUAUUUAUUUUACUUGCAAUUUAGGUUUGCAUUAAAGGGACUGAAAUAUAAUUAAUCAGCUGACAUAUGCAAAAAAAUGCAGAAUGGCUACCAGAGCUCAGAUAAUGUCUGCUUGCAGCCAAAGUUGUAUCGAGGCAGAAUAUUGCUAAAUGUCUGAGAGUUAUGGAGGAUUAACUAAUGUAGCAUUUGCCACGGGCCCUGCGUUUUCGAGGGCCCUGCACGGCCGGCUUCCAAUAAAUAUCCCUUUUCUGCUAAAUGUGCCUUUUAAGAGAAGGCCCAGCACAGCAACUGUCCAGGGGCUGUUGCUGGUGCCUACCACAUUUUUCUUUUUAGAGUGUGAGCGCUUUGGAGAGAGAGAAUCAUCUAUCCACUCUUUAUUUUUCUAUGUAAACCACUUUGAGAAUUUUGAUUGAAAAACGGUAUAUAAAUGUU